rnacentral:lncRNA from 1 species
GAUCAGUGGCACAGAUCAGCUGGGGAGGACAAUGAUGGCCCAGUCCUGACAGACGAGCAGAAGUCUCGUAUCCAGGCCAUGAAGCCCAUGACAAAGGAGGAGUGGGACGCUCGACAGAGCGUUAUUCGAAAGGUGGUGGACCCAGAGACCGGCCGUACAAGGCUCAUCAAGGGAGACGGUGAGGUUUUAGAGGAGAUCGUAACCAAAGAACGACACAGAGAGAUCAACAAGGUUGGUGGUACCACUCUGCCUAUGCUCUGCCCUCAUUGUGUCUACACUUAGUUUCUCAUGCUUCCAACCUGUUUCUUUCCUCAGCAAGCCACCCGAGGGGACGGCCUGGCCUUCCAGAUGCGAGCAGGCCUGCUUCCCUGAGGGAGGGCACUGCCAUCCCAGCUCUGUGAACUGCUGUUGGUAGUUUGGAGACUGAUGUCCAGCGGCCUUUCCUACGGCCCAGCAUCCUCUUGGGUGCAGUGGGUGGCCUAGGCACCGAAGUGGACAGCAGAGGGUCACUAUUAAAUGAUCUUGUUCACAG